GCCAGUGUGGUGUUGUGGUUUCAGCAUUAGACUAUGACCCUUGAGACCAGGGUUCAAAUCCCUGCUUGGCCA